rnacentral:rRNA from 1 species
GGCUCAGGAUGAACGCGGCGGUAUGCUUUACACAUGCAAGUCGUACGGAAGUUUUUAACUUUAGUGGCGGACGGGUGAGUAACACGUAAGAAUUUGCCUUUAGGAGGGGGAUAACAACUGGAAACGGUUGCUAAUACCCCAUAUGCUUUCGAGUGAAACGGUUUUUCCGCCUAAAGAGAAGCUUGCGGCUGAUUAGCUUGUUGGUAAGGUAAUGGCUUACCAAGGCGACGAUCAGUAUCUGGUUUGAGAGGACGAUCAGACACACUGGAACUGAGACACGGUCCAGACUCCUACGGGAGGCAGCAGUGGGGAAUUUUCCGCAAUGGGCGAAAGCCUGACGGAGCAAUACCGCGUGAGGGAUGACGGCCUAUGGGUUGUAAACCUCUUUUUUCAGGGAGGAAUCAAUGACGUGUACCUGAAGAAUAAGCAUCGGCUAACUCCGUGCCAGCAGCCGCGGUAAGACGGAGGAUGCAAGUGUUAUCCGGAAUCACUGGGCGUAAAGCGUCUGUAGGUGGUUUAAUAAGUCAACUGUUAAAUCUUGAGGCUUAACCUCGAAAUCGCAGUCGAAACUAUUAGACUAGAGUAUAGUAGGGGUAAAGGGAAUUUCCAGUGGAGCGGUGAAAUGCGUAGAUAUUGGAAAGAACACCAAUGGCGAAGGCACUUUACUGGGCUAUUACUAACACUGAGAGACGAAAGCUAGGGUAGCAAAUGGGAUUAGAUACCCUGGUAGUCC